UUCUGUGGCUUAGUUAGUUAAAGCACCGGUCUAGCGAAUACGGAGUCGUGGGUUCAAUCCCUCCAGAA
rnacentral:tRNA from 1 species